rnacentral:miRNA from 1 species
UUNUUAUAUAUAUCAUAAGCGAUACGGAAAUGGAUCGAGUAAUCUGUUCCUUUAUCCAAGAAAAGGUAUUUCUAGUUUGCAUGGUCCAAUCAUUGAUCCCGAAAAUUUCUACAAUAAAUUAGGUAGGUCGCUAGUAUAGUUCCCUAUCCACGAUUCUAAA